AGUGAACGCUGGCGGUAGGCCUAACACAUGCAAGUCGAACGGCAGCACAGUAAGAGCUUGCUCUUACGGGUGGCGAGUGGCGGACGGGUGAGGAAUACAUCGGAAUCUACUUUUUCGUGGGGGAUAACGUAGGGAAACUUACGCUAAUACCGCAUACGACCUACGGGUGAAAGCAGGGGAUCUUCGGACCUUGCGCGAUUGAAUGAGCCGAUGUCGGAUUAGCUAGUUGGCGGGGUAAAGGCCCACCAAGGCGACGAUCCGUAGCUGGUCUGAGAGGAUGAUCAGCCACACUGGAACUGAGACACGGUCCAGACUCCUACGGAAGGCAGCAGUGGGGAAUAUUGGACAAUGGGCGCAAGCCUGAUCCAGCCAUACCGCGUGGGUGAAGAAGGCCUUCGGGUUGUAAAGCCCUUUUGUUGGGAAAGAAAAGCAGCAGGUUAAUACCCCGCUGUUCUGACGGUACCCAAAGAAUAAACACCGGCUAACUUCGUG
rnacentral:rRNA from 1 species